AGAACGAACGCUGGCGGCAGGCUUAACACAUGCAAGUCGAACGCUCCGCAAGGGGAGUGGCAGACGGGUGAGUAACGCGUGGGAACAUACCCCUCGGUUCGGAAUAACUCAGGGAAACUUGAGCUAAUACCGGAUACGGUCGAGAGGCGAAAGAUUUAUCGGCUAAGGAUGGACUCGCGGCCUAUCAGCUUGUUGGUGGGGUAGAAGCCUACCAAGGCGACGACGGGUAGCC
rnacentral:rRNA from 1 species